rnacentral:rRNA from 1 species
GAACUGAGACACGGUCCAAACUCCUACGGGAGGCAGCAGUGAGGAAUAUUGGUCAAUGGACGAGAGUCUGAACCAGCCGAGUAGCGUGAAGGAUGACUGCCCUAUGGGUUGUAAACUUCUUUUAUACGGGAAUAAAGUGAGGCACGUGUGCCUUUUUGUAUGUACCGUAUGAAUAAGGAUCGGCUAACUCCGUGCCAGCAGCCGCGGUAAUACGGAGGAUCCGAGCGUUAUCCGGAUUUAUUGGGUUUAAAGGGAGCGUAGGCGGACGCUUAAGUCAGUUGUGAAAGUUUGCGGCUCAACCGUAAAAUUGCAGUUGAUACUGGGUGUCUUGAGUACAGUAGAGGCAGGCGGAAUUCGUGGUGUAGCGGUGAAAUGCUUAGAUAUCACGAAGAACUCCGAUUGCGAAGGCAGCUUGCUGGACUGUAACUGACGCUGAUGCUCGAAAGUGUGGG